GACGAACGCUGGCGGCGUGCCUAAUACAUGCAAGUAGAACGCUGAAGGAGGAGCUUGCUUCUCUGGAUGAGUUGCGAACGGGUGAGUAACGCGUAGGUAACCUGCCUGGUAGCGGGGGAUAACUAUUGGAAACGAUAGCUAAUACCGCAUAAGAGUAGAUGUUGCAUGACAUUUGCUUAAAAGGUGCAAUUGCAUCACUACCAGAUGGACCUGCGUUGUAUUAGCUAGUUGGUGGGGUAACGGCUCACCAAGGCGACGAUACAUAGCCGACCUGAGAGGGUGAUCGGCCACACUGGGACUGAGACACGGCCCAGACUCCUACGGGAGGCAGCAGUAGGGAAUCUUCGGCAAUGGACGGAAGUCUGACCGAGCAACGCCGCGUGAGUGAAGAAGGUUUUCGGAUCGGAAAGCUCUGUUGUAAGAGAAGAACGAGUGUGAGAGUGGAAAGUUCACACUGUGACGGUAUCUUACCAGAAAGGGACGGCUAACUACGUG
rnacentral:rRNA from 1 species